rnacentral:rRNA from 1 species
GACGGAGGGUGCUAGCGUUGUUCGGAAUCACUGGGCGUAAAGGGCGCGUAGGCGGCCUUGCAAGUCGGUUGUGGAAAGCCCGGGGCUCAACCCCGGAGGUGCGGCCGAAACCCCCUGGCUAGAGUCCGGAAGAGGAGAGUGGAAUUCCUGGUGUAGCGGUGAAAUGCGCAGAUAUCAGGAAGAACACCCGUGGCGAAGGCGGCUCUCUGGGACGGUACUGACGCUGAGACGCGAAAGCGUGGGGAGCGAACAGG